rnacentral:lncRNA from 1 species
GCAAGAUCAUAACCUAAAAAACCAUACUUAUCUAAUAUUUUAGUUUUUCAGGCAAUCUAAGUAUAAAUGCUCAAAAUGAAUUGGUGAUCUUUGCUUUCUCUGCACUUUGCUGUGGCACCUUGUGCAUCAUCAUGUCCUUGCAACCUAAGGGUGUCUCCCUCUCCUCAUCUGCCUGAGAAAUGGACUCAAGUAUGCAGUGACUGGAGAGGAGGUAAAGAAAUGUAUGCAGUGCUUGAUCAGAAUCAGCAACCAGGUUCAAACUGAUGUUGCAUACCUUGCUGCAUUCGUGGAUACAUGUGAGAUGGAGCAAACAUUGGCUAGCAUCAAGAAGACAGGGAAUGAACUCUAAGACCAUCAGCUUGACCAGCCCAUGAUAUUUCAGUGGAUUGUUCAUCUCAGGCCUUAAAGCUUUUUGAUGCUGUUUGGAAACCAACAGCAUCACAGCUCACUUGGACUUCAUCACACUGUUAUUUUCAGCAUGAAAAUGUGUGGUUUGAUAAGAUCCUGGAGACAUCUACAUGUACCUGAGACAAACAAAAAUGAAUUUAUUGCCAGUAAGUUAUUUAUUCCUCAGCUUCUUUCACAUUGUAGUUUAUUUUAUUUUAUUUUAUUUUAUUUUUUUGACAGGGAGAGUUAGACAGUGAGAGACAGAGAGAAAAGUUUUCCUUCCGUUGCUUCACCCCUGAAAUGGCCGCUACAGCUGGUGCCCCAGCUCCAGUUCUUUGUGACCAUUUUGAGAGUGAACCAGUGGGUGGAAGACUUCUCUGUUUCUCCCUCUCUGUAACUCUACUAAGAAGGAGAAGAAGAAGAAAAACAUGCAGAACACAAACUGGUGCCCGUAUGUGAUGGUGGCACCAUAAGUGGACAUAUAGCAUACUAUGCCACAACACUGGCACUGAGAGAGAGACCGUGACUUUCAGUCAACUGAUUUACACUCCAAACACCCACAGCAGGCAGGGCUGAGACAGGGUCAUAGGUGAGAACCAGGAAUGUAGUCCUGGCCUCUCACUUGAGUUGAGAAGCCUACAUUCUAGAGUUGUCAACACUGACUUCUAGUGUCUAGAUUUGCAAAAUCUAAAAUUAGGAGCCAGCCCUGAAAGCACAGCUGGAAAUGCUGCUGUGGGACCAGGGCAUUAGGCUAAAUGACUCUUUUCCCUUGCCAUGGUAGAAACUGCUACACGCCUUCUCCUGGAAGUUAACCUGUUUGUAUCAUGACAUCACUGAAAGUUUCUUCUCUUUUUACUGGUGUCCUAUUGAUUGCAUUCUGCAAUUCACCUUGACAGGUUGACCCUAUAUCAUCUGACACAUCUGUAUCUCCAGCUUGGGCUUCUUGCAUAGCAUGUAGACCACUAUAUUUACUCCCUGUUGAGUGUUUCCUUAUAGCCAUCCAAAUGGCACCUCAAGCUGCUCAAAUCUAAAAUGAAAACCUGGGGCUGACAUUGUGACAUUGUGGUAUAGUGGGUUAAACAGCUGCCUAGGAUGCCAGCAUCCCUUAAGGAUUUUGGUUUGUUUUCUGGUUGCUCCAUUUCCAAUCCAGCUCCCUGCUUAGCAUACCUGUGCAAGCAGCAGAAGUUAGUCCACCGGCGCCAUGGCUCACUAGGUUAAUCCUCCACCUUGUGGCACUGGCACACCGGGUU